rnacentral:rRNA from 1 species
GGCUAAUCCUGGUCGGACAUCAGGAGGUUAGUGCAAUGGCAUAAGCCAGCUUGACUGCGAGCGUGACGGCGCGAGCAGGUGCGAAAGCAGGUCAUAGUGAUCCGGUGGUUCUGAAUGGAAGGGCCAUCGCUCAACGGAUAAAAGGUACUCCGGGGAUAACAGGCUGAUACCGCCCAAGAGUUCAUAUCGACGGCGGUGUUUGGCACCUCGAUGUCGGCUCAUCACAUCCUGGGGCUGAAGUAGGUCCCAAGGGUAUGGCUGUUCGCCAUUUAAAGUGGUACGCGAGCUGGGUUUAGAACGUCGUGAGACAGUUCGGUCCCUAUCUGCCGUGGGCGCUGGAGAACUGAGGGGGGCUGCUCCUAGUACGAGAGGACCGGAGUGGACGCAUCACUGGUGUUCGGGUUGUCAUGCCAAUGGCACUGCCCGGUAGCUAAAUGCGGAAGAGAUAAGUGCUGAAAGCAUCUAAGCACGAAACUUGCCCCGAGAUGAGUUCUCCCUGACUCC